GUGCCAGCCGCCGCGGUAAUACGGAGGGAGCUAGCGUUAUUCGGAAUUACUGGGCGUAAAGCGCACGUAGGCGGCUUUGUAAGUCAGAGGUGAAAGCCUGGAGCUCAACUCCAGAACUGCCUUUGAGACUGCAUCGCUUGAAUCCAGGAGAGGUGAGUGGAAUUCCGAGUGUAGAGGUGAAAUUCGUAGAUAUUCGGAAGAACACCAGUGGCGAAGGCGGCUCACUGGACUGGUAUUGACGCUGAGGUGCGAAAGCGUGGGGAGCAAACAGGAUUAGAUACCCGCGUAGUCC
rnacentral:rRNA from 1 species